UGAGGUGUAGUUCAGUUGGAAGGACGUUUGCCUAGUAAGCAAAGUCCUGGAUUUGAUUCCCAGUAUGGCAU
rnacentral:tRNA from 1 species